rnacentral:rRNA from 1 species
UAACAUUUCAAAGCUUGCUUUGAAGAUGACGAGUGGCGGACGGGUGAGUAAUGCUUGGGAAUUUGCCUUUAGGUGGGGGACAACAGUUGGAAACGACUGCUAAUACCGCAUAAUUGCUACGGCACAAAGGGGGCUUCGGCUCUCGCCUUUAGAGAAGCCCAAGUGGGAUUAGGUAGUUGGUGAGGUAAAGGCUCACCAAGCCGACGAUCCCUAGCUGGUCUGAGAGGAUGAUCAGCCACACUGGAACUGAGACACGGUCCAGACUCCUACGGGAGGCAGCAGUGGGGAAUAUUGCACAAUGGGCGCAAGCCUGAUGCAGCCAUGCCGCGUGUGUGAAGAAGGCCUUCGGGUUGUAAAGCACUUUCAGUCGUGAGGAAGGGUUAGUAGUUAAUACCUGCUAGCUUUGACGUUAGCGACAGAAGAAGCACCGGCUAACUCCGUGCCAGCAGCCGCGGUAAUACGGAGGGUGCGAGCGUUAAUCGGAAUUACUGGGCGUAAAGCGUACGCAGGCGGCUAAGUAAGUCAGAUGUGAAAGCCCCGGGCUCAACCUGGGAACUGCAUUUGAAACUGCUUGGCUAGAGUGCGACAGAGGGUGGUAGAAUUUCAGGUGUAGCGGUGAAAUGCGUAGAGAUCUGAAGGAAUACCAAUGGCGAAGGCAGCCACCUGGGUCGACACUGACGCUCAUGUACGAAAGCGUGGGUAGCAAACAGGAUUAGAUACCCUGGUAGUCCACGCCGUACACGAUGUCUACUAGCAGUUUGCCUCUUAAGAGGUGUCUUGCGCAGCUAACGCAUUAAGUAGACCGCCUGGGGAGUACGGCCGCAAGGUUAAAACU